rnacentral:lncRNA from 1 species
GGGGGACCAUGGGUGAGUUUAAAAACAUGGUGGCUUGGUUAGGGCAGUGGAUCUGGAGCACCUGAAGCUCUAAACAUGGAUGAGAAUGAUCAUGAUGAUUGAUGGGUGUCGCAACCCAUACAAAUUUGAUUGCAUAUGAGAAAUGCAGUAUAACUAGGAAGUGACUCCUAGGUCGUCUCACAAGGACCAACUGCGGUUCAAAAUCAGGUCUAACACAUAGUGGGGGGGAUUUUGAAGGUGUUUGAGACGAGAAUUAAACUCAAUUAAAAUGCAUGGAAAUUAAGCACAACCGAAUAAGAUAGAAAACAUUAAAGUAAAAUAAAAUGCUGAACCCAACACUGCAAUAGACAAAUUAGCAAAUGCAUUAGGAAAACAAUUAAAAUAAAACGCAUUCAGCUAUGUGCUUCUUU